CAAUCCUCCUGAUAAAAGUCUCUGUUCUCAGUGUUGAGGCUGCCAGAGGAAAGUAGACUUUCGGUAAACAUCACGACGCACUAGCUGGUAUCGCCAUAUCAUACGCUAACCGAUGUUGAGAAGAAGAUUUUGCUCAAAAAGUACAUUGUCCAAAAACGCAGCUUCCUAGAAUCUGGAUGACGGAUCAUAUUGCAAAAGCAUCAUGGAUUAAAAAGUGGACAAGUUGACGGGAUUAUCCGGCCAAGUGAAAGUACUAGCAUACGCAUAACCUACAAGACCGGGUGCAAACCAUUAGCAAGUUUUAUUAUGGUAUUAUAUCCAUAAAUCUAAUAGCACUACCCGUGGAUGUUAGUUUGUUACAAGCAAGAAUUGAUGAUGUACAAGAUAAUCCAUAAAUCCUAAUAACAUCACAUUUGGUUUGGAGAGUUUCUCACUUUAAAUUAGUAUCAACACACAACAAAUCGAGAUGCAAAUACGUGAUUGAGCACGGUCAAAUGACUCGAUAACAUAACUCAAGUCACUACACAUUACCAACAAAAGUGGCCUGAUGAAGACGAAGGAUGAACACAGCAAGUUGCGCCGGCUGCAAAACAGGAACCUGCGGCGUAACGAUCACGGACAGUGUUCUGUAUUUGAGACCAUGAUAGGAUGACACUAAGCAGGAUAUUUCGAAAAGUUUAGGAUGCUACCACAACUUGGGAAGGGUUGGACCUACAAAUCAUCAAAACCCAUGGUUUAUUAACUAUCAUCACUUCCUGAAGUGUUAAACAAAAACUAAGAGGCAUGAUACAAAUCCAGCCAUUCAGUAAAAGCUUAAUAAAGGAGUCAACAAAAAUAAGCCACAUCUUUGGAGGAUUACGCUACAGAUAAAAUAGAUUGGAUCUAAACAAAAACACAAAUCAAAGGUUUGUGAUCGAUCCCCACAAAAUCUGAGGGAAAAAUUCUCUCUAACGGAUUGAUCAUAUCCAAGAUUUUCCAGCUCAUGAAAGAUAAAGACGGAAGAGCCUCGUACAAAGACUCUAUAUAAAGACCAUUUGAUCAUUAAAGCAGGGAUCCUUUCGCCAAGCACCGUUACCCUGCCAAAAUCUCGUACCGACCCAUACCCAAAGCUCAAAAUACAGAAGGUUACUCAGAGUUUAUCCCUAAAACUCUGAGUAAGUCGGGCUAAGCCCUUACUAAACAAAGGCACGCACCAUAUCGGUAAAGAGGAAUAGAAACGGAGAGGAUUCGAAGUACACGAAGCAAAGUGGAUAGCUUACCAGGUAUACUCGUGGCCAAUGGAUAUGCGUCAAUAGUUGUGCGAAUCAUCUUCUCUGUUUGUUUCAAACGUCAUAGCAUUUGCAUAGAUUUGUUGCUUCUAUUUUGAUUUGUCAAUUUCUUGGUUAUUGGUGGUGGAUAUAAAAAGUGGCAUUAGAAGCUUUUAUACCUUGGUUACCUGAACCUCACAUCCGUUAUGGAGAGAAUAGGGUGCGGAGGAAUCAGAUCGGGAUUUAGAAACAGGAUAGGUUGGCGUUCGAUGUUGUUUUGGGAAUUAGGUAGUUAAAUUUUUGUGAAUCGAAGGCUACGUAAGGGUGAACAUCGAAGAGUGGGGUUCAUCGCCUUCUUUCUUCUUUUUGCUUUCUUAUUUUUUUUUAGCUUAAAAGUUCAGGGUGUGUGUUUAAGGUGGAAGGAAGGAUCUGUUGCAAUGCAUAUGUUGAUUUAAGUUUUUUUAUUCCCCAUAAAGUCCAUUAAAUUUGGUCAUUGGAUUGAUAAGACCUGGGUUGGACAAAGCAUGUACAAUUUAUAUUUUCAAAGUUUAGCUUUAUUGGCAUUAACGCUAUUUUAAUGGCCAACGGUGGAGAAUCCCAAAAGGGCCACAUGAUCCUUUCUGAUGUUCCAUUGUAUGACUUUCCCUUGCCUUGCCACGUGGGUGCUUUAAGAAGAUGAAAGGGCACAAGCUGCCCUUAGGUCUCUUCGUCUAGUUCGCUGGAUGCGGCUCUUGUUGGGCUAGGGAGAGGUUGGGCUUAGGGCCCACGAUGACUCUUUUUUUUUUCUUUUUUUUGUUAUUAUUGCGAGAAGUGUUUGGGCCUUAGGGCCCAUUCUGAAUCUUUGAGGUUUUUUAAGGCCUCCUUCGGGCUUCUACAGUUUGGUACUUUGGGACUUCACCUCUUUUAUUUCCCAUACACCCUGAUUCAUCUCAUUUGGUUUAGGUGUUAUUUUUAAAUACUUUAAUUUAAUGUCAAGGUAACUAUGAUUAAAAAAUAACGACGGUAAAAAUGUUUAUAAGCUUUAUUCCUAUAUGUUUUUUGUUAGAACACUAUAAUUAAUCAAAUAGGAGAUUAAGUAUUAAUAUUAGUAAAUAUUUCCUUUCCUAAAAUGAGGUUAAUCUUGUUCCAAUACCAAAUAGGCUUUCUCAAGACAUGUUAACCCUAAUUCACCGUGUUUAAUUAAUAUUCUCUAAAAAAAAUAUUUUAAAUUAAUUUUUGGAUGAAAAGGAGAAUAGUAAGCUUUCGUUUCACUAUCUCUCGAUUAUUCGGAUAAUUGGCGUUCGCCAUAUUGCCCGAAUUUUCGUCAUUCAAAUUAAAACCCUAAAACUCCAUAAAAUAAAAAUCACUUCUCCAAAUUAAUUAAAUUCUAAAAGCUUGGUAUUAAUAAUUAAUUCUUGGAUGAAAAGGAGAAUAGUGAGCAUCCGCUUCACUAUCUCUCGAUUGUUCGAAUAAUUGGCGUUCGCCAUAUUGCUUGGAUUUUCGUCAUUCAAAUAAAAUCUUAAAAAGCCUACAAGGCACAAAUCAUCUUUCUAAAUUAAUGUAAUACUAAAAAUAGAUUUAAUUUUAAACUUGGGAUGAAAAAGAAUAUAGAAAGCAUCCACUUCAUUAUUUCUCAAUUACUCGAACGAUUGGCGUACACCAUAUUGCUCUAAUUCUUGUCAUCCGAUUAAAACUUUAAUCGUACAAAUUCAAAUUAUUUUCCCAAAUAAAAUAUAAUUUCAAAAACUUUUUUUUUAUAAAACCUUGGACGAAAAAGAUAGGAGGCGUUCGCCUCACCAUCUCUCGAAUAAUUGAAUGAUUGGCGCUAGCCAUAUUGCUCAAAUUAUCGACUUUUGGUUAAAACACAUUAAAUAAAUUUGGAUAAGAGAAUAGGUGGCGCACACCUCAUUAUUUCUAGAAUAAGCAAGUGGGAGGCGCACGCCUCACUACCGUGCAUAUUCAAUUUUCACAAAUAAGCUUUCAAUAAUAAUUCAAAUAAAAUGGAGUAGAAGGCGUUCGCCUUAUUAUUCUUCGAAAGAAUUGAACGAUUGGUGUGCACCACAUUGCUCAAUCUUUUGUCGUUCUUUUAAAAAUAUCUAACACAUCAAUUCAACUUGUCACCCCCGUGUGACCAAAACUCUUUUCAAAAAGAAAACUGUUUAAUCCCUUUUAACGCGCACAAUAAACUAGUGCUUAAGCCUCCACCGAGAGUAGACAAACCAAUGUUUAGCCUUUAGAACGUGAUCUAAACAGCUGUUCAUUAAAAGACACCAACCAAUCGUAGUUCCCCAAACUACGAAUGCUCUAAUUUCCUUAUUGCACCAUAAGGAUACGUAGGCACGAGAUUGCGAGAUCUUGGCAAGCAUAUUAAUAAAAAACCUCCCUUUUCCCCCUUCUGAGGUUUCCAUCCACCUCUUUUCAAUAUUUUCAUAACUCGAAAAAAACAAACAACAUUAACUAACAUUCAAAUAGCAAAUUAAACUAAAAGGUUCCCGUUGAGUACAACGGACGUGAGGGGUGCUAAUACCUCCGCCUUGCGUAAUCGACUCCCGAACUCGAAUAUGGUUGCGACGACCAUUAUUCUAUUUUUCAAAGGUUUUAUCGAUAUUUUCCUAUUCCUUCAUUGGGAUAAAUAAAGUUCGAUGGCGACUCUGUUCGAACAAAUUUUUUUCGCUACCAUCGCGAGGAAUCGUAUUUUUCAAGAUGCGACAGAUGGCAACUCUGUUGGGGACUAGCUAUGCUCCAAGCAAGAGAGUCAAGCCUAACUUAGUUCAAUUUGUGAUAAAUGUUAAAUUACUGUUUUUCUUCAUUAUUUGCUUCUGUGUCUCCUGACGUAUUAUUUAUGCUAUGUAAUUUAUUCUGCUAUUAUGUUGGGUGAUCUAUGGUGUUUGACACAUGUUGUGAGUUAAGCUCUGUACCCGAGCUUUGAGAAGAACUUAGAACCUGAAGUUGUGUAGUCUUGAACUAAGGGGUAUACACCUCGUUGGGACAAUACGAAGACUCCACCUAGAGUAGAUCUGUUCGGAAUUUCCAUCAUAAUAUGGCUAGCCCAUUAUUGCGAGGAAACUUUGAACAUGGUCCAUGACUCUGGGAACCUCAUCUUAAACUGAAGUCCGUCUUCAUGAUUGGCGAUCGUGUAGUAUUGAACCGAAGGGUCUACACCCUGUUCGAACAAUACGAGGAUCCCACUUAGAGUGGUCCAUGACUCUGGGAACCUCAUCUUAAACUGAAGUCCGUCUUCAUGAUUGGCGAUCGUGUAGUAUUGAACCGAAGGGUCUACACCCUGUUCGAACAAUACGAGGAUCCCACUUAGAGUAGACUGAACUUGGCCCAUGACUCUAAGUUCUUGUCAUGAAAACGGAUAACCCUAGGAGCAAUCCUUUGUGUAUGGGGUAAAGGACAUAGAACCAUCGUAUAAGUUGAACCUUGUGAUAUAUGUGAAACUUGGAUCCCUGUCAUUGCAUAAACAUCAUAUUGUGUUCAUUAUGAGCAUAACAAAAUCAUUUACACACUUUUUAUUUUCAGGGAAUUUCAAAAUUUUCAGUUAAUUAAGCAUUCAGGAACAAAUGGAGCUAGGAAAGAGAAAAACAAUCCAAAUCAAAGCCAAAGUACCGUGUGUGAAGGGGUUCAUUGCAUUCAGAGAUGGGUUGAAUAAUAUCCGUCGAGACGCAUUCACACUCGGAUAUGGGAAGAUUCUACACUUGUUGUCCGUAUCGGUACAAAAGGAUGCUAUUACCGCACUAACCCAGUUUUAUGAUCCACCACUCAGACGUUUCCUCUUUAGAGAUUUCCAAUUGGCCCCGACUUUGGAAGAAUUCGGAAGAGACUCUCCCAAACAGAAGAAGGGACCUUAUAGGGGACUGGGUCAAAUCCCAAAACCCAAAGAGCUGGCAGAAGUUUUAGACAUUCUGGUCGAAGAUCUAACCCCUAACAUCAAAAUUUGGGGGAAGGUACAAGGAAUUCCUCAAGAAUACUUGGAGAAGAUUGCUCAAAGCUUUGCUAAAGCCCAAAAGUGGGAAGCCCAUGAUACUAUUAUGGCUUUACUUAUUUUUGGAUUGGUGUUAUUUCCUAAUAUGGAGAUGUUGAUUGAUGCAGCAGCUAUUAGCGUGUUUUGGGCCGUCAAGGUUAAGAAUGAAGAUCCAGUGCCCGCGCUCCUGGUAGAUGUUUAUCACACAUUGCACUUACGCUUCGAGAAGAAGGGAGGGUUGAUGUUAUGUUGCAUACCGCUUCUUUACCAAUGGUUUGUCUCUCAUGUGUUCAAAGAUGUUGAUAUGAUUGAGGGGAUUGAUGGAUACGAGUGGUCUCAAAAGCUAGUAGGACUCACUGAAAAUACCAUUAUUUGGUAUCCUCAUGGUUUGAAUGUGGGAGACACAAUUACUAGUUGUGGAGAAUUUCCGAAUGUUCCAUUAAUAGGGUCAAAAGGCUGCAUUAAUUACAAUCUGGUUUUAGCAAUGAGAUAGUUGGGUUAUCCUACCACAUACAAACCAGAUGAUCAGUUGUUAGAAUAUUUUGUGUUUCAUGAUAUGGAGGAUCUUGUUAUACUAAGAAGGGUUAUCCAAGCUUGGGAAAAAGUUCGCUUCAGAGGACAAGACAAAGGAAAGGGGGUCAUAGGGGAUAGAGAACCUUAUUAUCAAUGGGUCACAAGGAGAAGUCAAGAGAUCAAGCUACCAUUCACCCUCGAUCCUCCUACUUAACCUCCACCACCAGAGCCUACCCCUGUCUCUAUUGAAGAUGUGGAAGCAUUGAAAGCUACUAUAGCAAGACUCUGACGAGAAAAUGAAGAGCUACAUAUCAGCUUCCAGCAAGUUUCAAAUGAAAGAAAUGAAAUAAAGUGGGAACUAGAGAGGAAGAAGGCUCAGCUAGAAGCGACUGAGGAAAAGGUCGAUAAGGAAGAACACAAGAGAAAGAAGGUGAAAGUAGGCAUGGAGCAAGCUGACCAAUGCCUAGAAACCAUUAAAGAGCAGUUGAAACAAGUUGAGAAAGAGUGCCAAAAGAAUAAGAGAUGGUGGCUACGAGCAACAGAAGAGAAAAAAGAAGUUAGAGAGACAUUGGAGGCUAAGAUACAUGAUCUCACUAUAUCUCUUCACAAUAUUGAGACCCGAGCUGAGCACGAGCGUCGACUUAAGGAAAGAACCCUCGAAGCUUCUCGAGUCACGCCUACAAUUUGGGCCGAGAAAUGUUAAGAGGCAAAAGAUGCUAGAGAAAUUGCUCAACAUUGGAAAUAUGGAUUUGAGGCAUUCCAUCAAGACAGUGUGAUAUGGCUUAGGGAAAGAGAGCAAGUCAUCGAAGAUUACGAUACCUUCAAAAGAACUAUCAAUUUCUUGCAAGAGGACAAAGAUGGGUACCGUACAAAUCUCAACAGUUUGGUAGAAUUCUGCAACUGGACGACCCAAGAAAUGCCUUGGAGGUUGAGAGAGGCAGUGGAAGGAUUGGACCAACACGACACGCAUCCCGAUGUAAUCAAUUUUGUUAUGAUGUGUGAGGGGAUGGUGAAAACGUUCAAGUUCGAAUUAGAAGAACUCAUAACCCGAAAGACUGUUGUGUGAUUUUUCUAUUUUUCUUGCAUUGAGUUUAUGCUUUCGCAAAAGUUUAAUAUUGGAGUUGUAUUGAUUUGGGCGUUUAUGACUUUGUAUCCCGUACUUUGACCAUCUGAAUGAAUGAAGAUGAUCCUCGUUUUUAUUUCCUGACUUUGUGUUUUCUUCGAAUACUUAAUAAAAAUUACAACCGCUAUGAAAACUCCCUGGAAAUAAAUAAAUAAAUAAAUAAGAAAAAGGACAUUUUUUCAUUUGCAUGCAUCUACCCCAUCACAUAUUUCAUUUCAAAAAAAACUUACCCAACCUUUUUACCCUCUACCAGUAAUGCUGACUAACCGACACCAAUACGAGACACGGAGUAACUAUAAGAUGACAUUAGAGCAAGUUAAGGCUAAUCAAGUUACCAUGAGGACAGACAUCACUGUAAUCCAAGAGAAGAUGGAUCAACUGUUAGAAACGAUGCUAGCAAUCGCCCAAAGAGAGAGGGUUGUGGAUGCAGAAACUAGGGUGAGGAAGAAUGAUAGCACAUCAGGAUUGGUCCAACAAGACGAAUGUUUCACUCACGCUAAGAAGAGUCUGGUUCAUAUAUCGGUGGGAAACAAAGGGGAUGGAGAUCGUGCAAGGCCUUUUGAUGCGUCUGCUUAUUAUGGGUCUGAAAUGGGAGAUGACCUUUACGACGCUUUCUAUGUGCCUGAUCAACCAAAGCCUAAGAUACUUCCAGAUCCUGCUGCGGAUAGGCUUCGCGCCUUGGAAAAAAAGAUCAAAGCUAUAGAGGGGAAUAAUAUCUUCGGUGCCGCUGCCAUGAAUAUGGGUUAGGUAUCAAAUUUGGUCAUCCCGACUAAAUUUAAAACUCCUGAUUUCGAGAAAUACAAAGGCCAGACUUGUCCAAGAAGUCACCUGGUAAUGUACUUCAGGAAAAUGGCUGCCCAUACUGAAAACGACAAGCUGCUUAUACACUGUUUCCAAGACAGUUUAAGUGGAGCGUCUUUAAGGUGGUACAUGAGCUUAGAGCAAGGGCGGAUUCAAAGUUGGGAAUAUUUGGCUGACGCAUUUCUCCAUCAAUACAAAUAUAAACUAGAUAUGGCGCCCGACCGAAUGCAGUUAUAAGGGAUGACCAUGAAGGAAAAGGACUCAUUUAAAGAAUACGCCCAACGAUGGAGAGAGUUGGCUGCUCAGGUAGAGCCACCAUUGUCUGAAAAAGAAAUGACUGGAAUAUUUAUGGACACACGGAAGGACCCUUUCUUUGAUAGAUUGGUGAGUAGUGCAGUGUCCGACUUUGCGCAUCUGGUGACAAUCGGAGAUCGCAUAGAAAAAGGGUUAAGAGAUGGAAAGAUUCAAGGAGUUGUGGCAGCCUCCAGCGCACCGAAAAAGUAUACUGGAGGCUUCCAAAAGAAAAGAGAAGGUGAUACGAACGCUAUAUCCAAAGGCUACAAGGGGAAGCAACAGGCUUCAUAUGGCCAAGUCGCCGCCGUGGUACCCAUACCCUAUCAACAACCAAUACAGCAACAAGAAGUGUAUCAACAACAGCAUCAACAACAUCGUCAACAACAAAAUACCGCUCCACCAAGGCAAUUCAGGCUAAGACCCCCGAGAAGGCAACUUGACCCUUUACCGGUGCCUUAUAGCCAAAUAUUCUCGUACUUGCAAAAGGAGGGACUCUUGAUGUUAAGGGAACUAAAACCGACUGUUUUUCCAUAUCCACCUGGAUAUGAUGCUAACGCCCAUUGUGAGUUUCACAUGGGAGUGCCCGGCUAUACCCUGGAGAAUUGUUUUGCAUUUCAAAAUCGGGUACAAGACCUGAUUGAAGCAAAGGUUGUCACCUUCACUCCGAGACGCCCGAACGUGAACACUAAUCCUAUGCCAACAUAUAGAGGUGCUUCCGUUAGUGACAUUGAGGAGAGUGAUCAAGGUGAAUUGAUUCUCAAAGUAGAAGAAAUUCAAACUCUUAUCACCAUGAUAGGAACACAACUACUAAAGAGUGGUAUAAUCCCGGUGGAGCUAGUUGAUGAAGGAAAUGAUAAAAGGUUAAAGAAUUUUAUACAACAAAUGUUGGACCAAGGCGAGUUACAGAUCGAGCGUCGGGUCAAAAGCAGGAAUGAGGAAGAAAUAGCAGUGGUGGACAUCCCUUAUGAUGAGGUUAAUGUGGAAAUCCCUAUAAGCCCAUUGGUAAUAGAACUUCCAGCACCGUUCGCAUAUGAAGACGAGAAGGCGGUACCGUGGAUAUAUCAGCCCAGAGCUUUUAAGCAAGGGCAGGAAGACCGACCCAUGGUGAUCAAUGAACCAAACGUCAUCUUGAUUAUGGGGCCAGCUGGAAUGACGCGUAGUUGUCGAGUGUUCGCGCCAAGGACUGUUGAUGCUUCUGUAAAAGCUAAAGGGAAGGAAAUUUUUGCUCCUGUCCAAAUCCCCGUCCCUAAUUAAGAAAUGCGAGAAAUGCAUCUUUCUCCUAAAGCUGCAGUCACUCGUGAAGAGGCCGAGGAAUUUUUGAGGAUAAUCAAGAAGAGUGAUUAUAAAGUGGUGGACCAAUUGAAUUGAACACCUUCAAAGAUCUCCAUGUUAUCUUUGUUGCUCAGCUCAGAAGCACACAGAAACUCGUUGAUUAAAGUGUUAAGCGAUGCGCAUAUCACGAAAGAUAUAACGGUGGAAUAGUUUGAAGAUGUGAUAGCUUGUGUAACCACUGGAUAUUUUUUGGGUUUCAACGAUGACGAACUGCCGGUCGAGGGAAAGAACCAUAACAAAGCCCUACAUAUCUCCUAGAAAUGCAUAGACACUAUACUGUCAAGGGUAUUAGUAGACACGGGUUCCUCGUUGAACGUCAUGCCAAAAACCACUUUGGUAAAGCUACCAAUGGAAGGGAUGAAUAUGAAGCCCAACACUCUGAUCAUAAAGGCGUUUGAUGGCUCAAGGCGAGCAGUGAUAGGGGAGAUUGACCUGCCGGUUAAAAUAGGCCCGACCGUCUUCACUAUCACAUUCCAUGUUAUGGACAUACAUCCCGGAUAUAGUUGCCUACUUGGGAGACCAUGGAUUCACUAUGCAGGCACCGUCACUUCCACUAUACAUCAGAAGCUAAAAUUCAUCACAAAUGACAAGAUGAUUGUGAUUGGAGGAGAGGAGGAUAUCUUGGUUAGCCACUUAACGUCUUUCUGGUAUAUCGAGGUGGAUGGCGAGAUCACCGAGACCUCAUUCCAAUCCUUGGAGGUGGUAAACGUAAUGGUCGUUCAACAGAUGUCGGAAACACCAAAAUCAGGACCAUCCAUGGCCUCGUGGAAAGGGGCUAAAGCUGUUAUGGAGAGUGAAAAUGCUCAAGACUGGGGCAAGGUGGUGGAAGUGCGAGAGAAACUUGGACAAGUUUGGUUUAGGGUAUGACCCGUCAUCGAGUGAAGUUGGUAACCAACAUGGCCAAGAGCGGAUUCCUUCUGUGGAAGAAACGUUCACCAACGCUGGCCACAUUUUUGGCAACCAGGUGGCAAUGAUCAAUGAUGAAGUUCGCGAAGAGGGGGUGUCUAGCGGGAUACGACAAGCCGCGCCCAAUGAAGAAUUGAAGAACUGGAAGGCCGUGGAAAUCCCCCAACUUUUCCAAAAGUAAUUUUAUUAUUUUAAACAAAACUCAGUGCUCUGCCCAAGGCACAGUGGCGUGUUGUAGGGCCUCCUUUAUCUUUUCAAGAGUUUCUGAAUAUCAUUAAUAAAAUGGAGAUUUGCAUUCAAAUUUUUGUUCCUUUCCUUUCAUUUUGUAUUACAAUAAAAUGGCAUUAAUUCUUAUGCAUGCACUUUCUAAAUAAACUGCAUAUAUCAUAACAUGCAUAGACACCACCGAGACCAUUGAUAACGACACUGCUAGGGUCUGGCAUGAUUUUGACUGUCCGAUUUACCAAGCUGAAGACGAAGUGGGGGAAGAUUUUGAACUCCCUGAAGAGUUGGCCAGAUUACUCAGACAAGAAGAAAAGGUCAUUCAACCACACCAGGAGGACGUCGAAGUUAUCAACCUGGGAACAGAAGAAGAUAAGAAAGAAGUAAGGGUAGGCGCCACACUUCAAGAUGCAGUGAAGACAAGGUUGAUAGAGGUCAUACCAAGAUAUACCCGGAUUAGACACUGACAUCGUGACCCACAAGCUUCCCCUUAACGAAGAAUACUCUACCGUCAAACAAAAGCUAAGAAGAACUCGAUCGGAUAUGGCUCUCAAGAUCAGAGAAGAGGUGAGAAAGCAGUUUAACGCCGGUUUCCUGGAAGUCGCUAAGUACCCACAAUAGGUUGCCAACAUUGUACCGAUACCGAAGAAAGAUGGGAAAGUCUGCAUGUGCGUCGACUACCGAGACCUAAACAGAGCUAGUCCCAAAGACGAUUUCCCAUUACCACACAUUGAUGUAUUAGUGGAUAACACAACUCAUUUCUCCGUAUUUUCCUUUAUGGAUGGCUUCUCUGAAUACAACCAAAUUAAAAUGGAUCCCGGGGACAUGGAGAAAACCACGUUCAUUACCCCUUGGGGCACCUUUUGUUACAAAGUGAUGUCGUUUGGAUUAAAGAACGCCAGGGCAACAUAUAAACGUGUUAUGGUGACUCUCUUUCAUGACAUGAUUCAUAAAGAGAUUGAGGUGUAUGUUGACGAUAUGAUUGCAAAAUCCCAGACAGAAGAAGAGCACACCACUAACCUGGAGAAACUGUUUGCACGGUUAAGGAAGUUUAGGUUGAGACUUAACCCUAACAAGUGCACAUUUGGGGUUCGAUCUGGGAAACUUUUAGGCUUUAUUGUAAGCCAAAAGGGAAUUGAAGUGGACCCUGACAAGGUCCGAGCCAUUCAGAACAUGCCUGCACCAAGGACUGAGAAGGAAGUUCGUGGGUUCUUGGGAAGACUAAAUUACAUCGCCAGGUUUAUCUCUCACCUUACUGCCACAUGCAAACCAAUAUUCAAACUUCUAAGGAAGAAUCAAGGCGUGGAGUGGAAUGAUGACUUCCAAAUAGCCUUCGACAAAAUCAAAGAAUACUUACAAGAGCCACGGAUUCUGAUGACCCCUACAGAAGGGAGACCUCUCAUCAUGUACUUGACAAUGCUCGACGAGUCCAUGGGUUGUGUAUUGGGACAACAGACAACAAGAUGAGACUAGUAGAAAAUAGCAUGCCAUAUAUUAUCUGAGCAAGAUGUUUAAUGAUUACGAGACCAGAUAUUUAUUACUCGAAAAGACCUGUUGUGCACUCGCGUGGGCCGUUAAGUGUCUCAGGCAGUACAUGCUAACUCAUACAACUUGGUUGGUAUCUAAAAUGGAUCCUAUCAAGUACAUAUUCGAGAAACCAUCUCUUACCGGUAGAAUUGCCCAAUGACAGAUGUUGUUAUCAGAAUAUGAUAUUCAAUACGUUGCGCAAAAGGCCAUCAAAGGAAGCAUGCUAGCAGACCAUCUUACUCACCAACCGUUAGAGGAUUACCAACCUUUGAAGUUUGACUUCCCAGACGAGGACAUCAUGGUUGUUAAGGAUGCUGAAGACUCCGGACUAGAGGAGAGACCUGAGCCAAAUACAGGAUGGACUCUCAUGUUCGAAAAGCUUCAAAUGCAAUAGGUCAUGGAAUUGGGGCAGUGCUGAUGUCUCCCAAGAAUUUCCAUAUACCGUUCACCGCAAAGCCCUGUUUUACCUGCACAAAUAACAUGGCCGAGUAUGAAGCUUGCAUAUUGGGGCUGGAAGAAGCUAUUGAGUUGAAGAUCAAGGUACUAUAAGUAUUCAAGGAUUCUGCUCUAGUGAUACUUCAGAUCAGAGGUGAUUGGGAAACAAGACAUGCUAACCUAAUCCCAUAUCGGGAUUACGUGCUGAAGUUACUCCCAAAAUUUGACAAAAUCACUUUCUCUCAUAUUUUUCGAGAAGAGAAUCAGAUGGCAGGUGCCUUAGCAACCUUGGCUUCCAUGUACAAGUUAAUAUGGCCUAAUCAUCAUCCUCACAUUGAAAUUAGGCGUUUUGAUGAACCUGCGUAUUGCCUGACAACAGUAGAAGAGCCAGAUGGUAAACCCUGGUUCUUUGACAUCAAAUAGUAUCUAGAGAAGCAAGAAUACCCGCAAGAGGCUUCCAGCCUUGAUAAAAGGACCAUACGGAGGUUGGCAUCAAAGUUCCUUUUAAAUGGGAAGGUAUUAUACAAGUGGAAUUAUGACAUGGUUUUAUUGAGGUAUGUGGACAAACAUGAAGCUAAUCAGCUUAUGAAGGACAUACACGAAGGGUCCUUCGGCACAAACGCAAAUGGGCAUGCAAUGGUGAAGAAGAUCUUAAGGGCGGGUUACUACUGGUUAACGAUGGAAGCCGACUGAUCAUUACACCAGAGCAUGCUACAAAUGCCAAAUCUAUGCUGACAAAGUACAUGUACCGCCUACCCCGUUAAAUGUUAUAGCAUCACCUUGGCCAUUCUCUAUGUGGGGCAUCGACAUGAUCGGGAUGAUAGAACCCAAAGCGUCUAAUGGACAUAGAUUUAUCCUGGUGGCGAUAGACUACUUCACCAAAUGGGUUGAAGUCGCAUCUUAUGUGAAUAUCACGAAGCAUGUAGUCGCCCGUUUCUUAAAAAACAAUAUCAUAUGUCGAUACGGGAUUCCGAACAGAAUCAUCACUGAUAACGGGUCCAAUCUCAACAACAAGACCAUGGAGGAGUUAUACACAACAUUCAAGAUUGAGCAUCAUAACUCAUCACCAUAUCGGCCUAAGAUGAAUGGGGUUGUCGAAGCUGCGAACAAAAAUAUCAAGAAAAUCAUCCAGAAGAUGGUAGUCACGUACAAGGAUUGGCAUGAGAAGCUACCUUUUGCGUUACACGGUUAUCGUACCUCAGUACGAACUUCAACAGGGGCAACCCCUUAUUCCUUGGUAUACGACAUGGAAGCAGAUCUCCCUAUAGAAGUGGAGAUUCCCUCGAUGAGAGUCCUGAUGGAGGCUAAGUUAGACGAGGCAGAAUGGGUUCAAUUAAGGUUCAAUGAGGUCAACCUUAUUGAGGAGAAACACUUUGGAGCAUUGUGUCACGGUCAACUCUAUCAGAGGCGUCUUAAGAAGGCAUUUGACAAAAAAAGUAUGUCCUAGGGUGUUUCAAGAGGGAGAUUUGGUGUUGAAGAAGAUCUUGCCCAUUCACAAGGAUUCUAGGGGAAAGUGGACACCAAAUUAUGAAGGCCCAUUUGUGGUGGUUAGAGCCUUCUCCGGGGGCGCUCUAAUCCUAGCAACUAUGGACAGUGAUGAACUGCCACUUCCCAUCAAUAGUGAUGAUGUUAAAAAGUACUUUGCCUAAAAAAGUGGAAUAGUAAAAGCCGCUAAAUCGAAAACCUGAAAGGGAGAUUUAGGAAAAAAUGGCUAUCCCGGUGGAUCGAAAACCCGAAAGGGCGAUCCAUGCAAAAAUUAGGGAUAAAAAAUUAAAAAAAUUGACCCGCUGAGUUGAAAAAUCGAAAGGGCGGCUCAGGCAAAAAUGGGUAUCCCGGUGGAUCGAAAACUCAAAAGGGCGAUCAGGCAAAAGUUAGGGAUUAAUUCCAAGACAAAGAACUGUACUUUCAGGCAUCUAGCAUAUCCCUCGAGGAUAAAGAAUCAAUCUACCUGACUUUUUCCAAAGCGACGUACUCGGACUAUCAAAGACAUAAGGAUCAUAGCAGUGUGGAGACUCAAUAGGAACUCAAUUUUAUUGUCGUCCUAUUUCUAUGCACAUCAAUUACCUCAUUAAGGAAUUGCAUCGUUAUGUACAAUCGCCCACUCAAGGGUCAGAUCAAUAAAAGAGAAUUUUUCUCGACAAAAGUUAUGCCCAAAUUAUUUUGUAUUUUAUCUGUUUGUUUGCAAGGCAUUUUUAUUUUUGAUAAACAUCACUCUUAAAGAUUCUGGAGAAAAUAAAAACACAUAAUUGAAUGAAGUGAUAAAAUUGCUUUUGAAAUAGUAAAAGGGUAGAUCUCAUAGCCCCCAAGUUUGUUCUUGUUUUUCAUUGGGGUAUAAGAUUGUUUGCAGGCACCUAUGUUCGUUCCAAUUGCUAAUCAAACGCCUCUCAUAGAUAUACUCAUGGUAUAGCCAAACCUCAGCGAGUCUCUAGUGCAUUUCCAGCAAGAACGUUAAUAAAUCAUGGUUAAAAUAUCGCGUGUUGAAAAGUCUGAACCCUUCGAGUGGCCUGGGGCAGCCCAAAUAUAUUCCCAAAAUUACCCAGUGGGGCAUCAAAUCUUGAUCUCCAUCAUAACAAAAGUCCACACUGUUGGCAUCAUCACCAAAGCGAAAACGCCUUAACCGGGGCACAUCCCAAUUACCCAUUUGCAUACUCGCAUACAUCGCAUGCUCCAUGUGCAUCAAUUACAUACAUAAUCUUCCUACCAAAUAGGAAAAUUCACCAAGAAAUAAUCAUACCAAUAAUUGGCAUACAUAUGCAUAGCCUUAUACGAUUCACAUUCCUAUAUGCACAUCCUAAAUAUCCUCGGCAUUUGCAUGUUCGCAUACGCCGCAUGCAUAAUUUCAUACAUAGUGCUUUCAUCCAAAGUGGAACGUCAUACAUCAAGCAUAAAAAAUCAGGAUCCAUGGUCAUUCAUGUGUAUCCCAGACUUUCCUCCUUCAAUUCAAUAGAGUUGAUACCCUGCAUAUGCUUGUGGAAUUAUUUCUCAGCUAGUCUUUCUUCAACUUUAUGGCUGAUAGUGAGAUUCCCCAACGUCUUUGCUAUCAUUUCUCCCCAAGCAGAGGUUACCAUAAAAGUCUCUUAUGAGCUUCUCCCCUGCAGAGCUUUUCCAGCAGAUUUCCUCCAAAGGGAAUCUUUUCUAGAAUAUUUCCCCCAACAAACGAACAUUUGAGAUACUGCUUCAUUUAUCUAAAGAAUCUCAUUUAUCUGUUUAAGACACUGGUUCAUUUAUCUGAAGAAUCUCAUUUAUCUGUUCGAGAUACUGCUUCAUUUAUCUGAAGAAUCUCAUUUUAUCUGUUUGAGAUGUUGCUUCAUCAAUAUGAAGAGUCUCAUUCCAAUUUCUUUUGAGAUACUACUCUAGUAUCCUCGAAGAGUCUUAGAUUCAAUUAAGGUAUCAUUCCCUUGUUCGGAAUAUCUUAAUUUGAUCGUAUAAGAUGCUACUUCGAUUCGAUACAGAGAAUCUCAUUUUUGCUGUUUGAGAUGUUGUUUCAUCAAUAUGAAGAGUCUCAUUCCAAUUUCUUUUGAGAUACUGCUCUAGUAUCCUUGAAGAGCCUUAGAUUCAAUUAAGGUAUCAUUGCCUUGUUCGAAAUAUCUUAAUUCUAUCAUAUAAGAUGCUGCUUCAUUUUGAUACAGAGAAACUCAUUUUUGUUGUUUGAGAUGCUGCAGUAAGACCAUAAUUUUGACCCUAAGAUCCCUCAUGCAAUUCCAUCAUAUGCAUUAGCAUUGGGAUCAUACCUUAGCAUCCUCCUUACCCUUUUUUCAUUGGGUUUGUUUUAGGAGAGAUCACCAAGCACUACGUGAUUGUAUCAUACUUGUAUUUUAUCAUUUCACUAACCAAAAUACCAAAAAUAUGUCUUUGCAUUUGCCUAACUCUUUUGUAGGUAGGGCAUGAUCUCCAUUGAUCUAUCAAGUUCACAUCUAGGGUUUUGAGACCCUCAUGAAAAAGAGCACAACCAUGAAUUGAUUCAAGGAUAGUCAUAAACUCAUAUAUGAGUCCCAAUGACCUCUACAUGUUAUAUUGAUCAAGUUUUCUUCAAGAGUUUGAGGUGGUUUUGCCUUGGAAACCCUAGUUUUGACUGGGUAUCUUGAGUAACUUCUCCAACAAGCUAUCUCACCAAUUGAUCAAAUUUCUCAAGGGACACUUCAAAAUUCAUCAUCUUAUGCAUAUAUGAUCUACCAUGAGCCUAGAAAGUCAAGAGAAUCGAAGAUUAGCAAGUUGGUUGAUGGUGGUUGGCCAGAUGAAUUCAUCUGAUCAAAACUGGGUCUCCCUAGACCCGAUCUCCUACAAUUUUCACCAUAUGAAAAUGAUUCCAAGAGCAAACAUACUCUAAAUGAUAUUCCAAACAACUUUCAUGUUGAGACCUAGCGAUAUUUUUGCUUUGAAAAUCAUUUUCUAUGUUGAAACAUUAUAGGUCAUUUUGUUUAAACCCUAAUUUGAAAGUCAACUUCCCAAGGCCAUAUCUUGCUCAAUUUUUAAGAUAUGAAAGAUUUCCAAGCUUCACAAUCAAACUCAAGAUGUCUAAUUCAACUUUUAGGUUUGGAGUGAGAGCUGAUUCAACUUUUAUGAGCAUGUGAUAUGAGGUUACAUUAUAUGUCACUUUUGACCUAUACCAUUGAUCAAGUGAUUUUUCCAAACUUCAAAAAUGCAUAACUCUAUCAUUUCAAAUCCAAAUGAAACGAAAUUGGUCACGAUUUUGAAGGUAUUUGAAAGAUCUACAACUUUGAUAAAGACACUUUUCUCAUUUGAAGCUCACAUAAAAAGUUAAGCAAGGUGGAAUAUUGGGACAUAUGGCUUGACACUUAGAAAAAAUUUCAAUAUGUUAAAAUUUCCAAACUUCCACCUCAAAAUUUUUGAACAGGAAAGUUGUUCCUCUUGAUCUAACCUUUCCAAAAAGCUCAAAUUCAUCCAUUUUGGACAGGAAAUGAAUGGGUUGCACAUGGCUUGAACAUGGUAUCAUCAUUUGGCAAGAUUGAACUUCAAACAUCCAUGCACAACUGCCUAGCAUUCCAACAUGACUUCAGCAUUGCUUACACUCAAUUAUGGAUCAGAUAGAGUGAUUUCAUGGGCCUGCACACGCCCAUGCACUCAUGCAUCACACAUUGCUAAUUUUGGAAGCUCAUUUCAAGUGUGCAAAUAUCAACUGAAUUGGCUAUAAAUAGAGCUCCAUAUGCUCAAAAUUUCACAGACAUUCGCGCCAGCUUUGAUCCCAAACCUCUAACUCUCUCAUUUCAAAGGAUAAUCCUGAGAAUUUCACUUUAAAUUGAGUUUGAAUUCUCUGUGUUGAGAUUCAAAACUCCAGGGAUCCAAGACCUUUUGAGCACUCAAUUCUUCUUCUGCAAGCAUUUGGAGUGAGAUCAAGCAUGAGCCAAGGUAAGAACAGCUUAAUCCAGACCUACAUUGAAGGUAUUUUCCAGAAAUUUUAAUCUCUUCGAUUCUCUAUUAAUCUUGCUCAAUUCUCUAUAUUCUUUGGUUGUCUGAAGUCCUACCAAUGUAGGCAAGAAGAUUGAGUUACUUUGAGGCCAAAUCGAAGCAACUCAGUUCAUGUACCUCAAAUUUCAACUCCAUGUAUCUCUCAAUAUACUUGGAGUUUGGUUGUCUGAAGUCCUACCAAUGUAGGCAAGAAGAUUGAGUUACUUUGAGGCCAAAUCGAAGCAACUCAGUUCAUGUACCUCAAAUUUCAACUCCAUGUAUCUCUCAAUAUACUUGGAGUUAGGAUGAAUUGAGGUCAGAUUCGUGCUCUACGCCAUUUUUUAUUUUAGAUCAUGUCCCCCUUUUUUAUUCUGGUGAUGGUUGAAGGUGGACCAGUCAGGUGAGGUCCACCAGAGAAGAAGACCGGAGCUACAGCUCCGGCGAUGUGUUGGCAUCUCUCACAACCAUAGGAUCCAGUUGAAAUGAUUUAAUCACGAGCGUGCAUGUUGAUUACCACGUGUGUGGACAAUUGACUCAAGUGCAUGGUGAACCGCGCACGCUCAACCACUUGAUUUGCCACCUUAAUUAAUGAGGCAGAUCAAGUGGUCCACGUUUUUUUGAUUUUCUGUUUUUUAUUUUAAUUCCUUUGAUUUUCAUUAAUUCGUAUUAAUUUUAAUAUUGAUCCAAAAAAUAUGAGAGUUUCACCAAAUAUUUUCAAAUAUUUUCCUCUUUCAUAUUCUGAAUUAAAAUUAUUUUUUGAAUCAUUAUUAAUAUUUUUCAUUAUUUAAUUGAUUUUUCAUUUGUUUUUUAUUGUUUAAAAAUACUUUUGAGUCUUUAAAAAAUCUAAAAAAAAUUGUCCAAGGUCCUUUGACCUUGUUUGACCUAUGAUAAAUGUCAUGGCCAUUUAUUUGGUGUUUCGAUGAGGUUUUAGGAAUUUGACAAACCAUAUUUAAUUUAAAUGCCUUAUUUUAGUUUUUUUUUAAUUUGAUUAAAUGCCAAAUAAUUUGUUGACCAAUUGUGAUGACUCGUUGGUGUUUGACUAUUGUUGUUGGGUCUUGGUCAAGGUUGAUUUGACUUUGUCAAAUUAAUAUCAUUGGAUUUAGGGGAUUGAUGGAAUGUACAUUCCAUCUCCCAAAAUGAAUGGAAUGAUAUCAUAAUGUUGGUAAAAGUCUCGCUUUGACCAAUUUGUGUUUGUAUCAUUCCUCUUCCCACUUUCAAAUAACUAUACUUGCACUUCUUCCUUGGCAAUAUAUCAUAUACACAAAGGCGCGAUAUAUCUCUAUCUCUAGAGGAAGUUGUGGCACUAAAUAUUCGUACAAUCUCAUACUCAUGUUCAAAAUCUCUAUAUACAGUGAGCUAGGUUUGAUAGAAAUAAUUAACAUUGAGUAUGGAUGAGAUUAUGGCCACACCUUUUGGCAUAUCCUUUUUUUUGUGGUAUGUUUCAUGAGCAUAGUCUAUUAUACUAUGUCUCUAACAUGCAUUAACACCAAAAUUCUAUUGCCCGACAUCAAAUAGUUUGGACUUCUACAUAAGUCAAUUACGAUUGCUUAACAUAGCGCUAAACUUGUGAAACACAAAAGGCAUAAGCAUUCUAGUUAGUAAGAUUGUAGUCUCCCCUCUUUCAUGGUAUUGUGUGGAAACUUGGCCUUUUUUCCUUCCUUUGGAAUAUGUCUUGGUUCAAGAUCCAUGCUUGUUGAUAAGUGGGUUGAGUGUUCUCCAAAGAAUGUCUUAAAAUGAAAAGCAAAAGCAAAAACAAUAGUAACUUCUAACCUAUUAACUACUAACUUUAAUUUCAAGAGCCCUUUACUUUAAUGCCAUUUAAUUCUAGCUUUUAUACAUUUGCCAUUGUUCAUAUCAUUCUAAUUGUUUAUGUUAAUGCAAUUUUCACUUUAUCCACUUGGACCAUAUUGUGUGAUAAAUUUUAUUUGUGUAUACUUUGCUUGUUUGUAUGGUCUUUGACCAUUAAUGUACAUAAUAACAACAAAAACCCUAAAAAACUUUUUGUGUGGACUGUUGGCUUGAUCUUGGACAAAUAGACUUAGAAUCUAGGCAACCUUCCUAUGCUAAAGGACUUGGCCAAUGCCAACUUAUUGAGAAACCAAGUGCUUGCAAUUUGAAACUUCAUAUGAUACAUCAUUCAAGAUCUCUCUGAGUUCAUCUGUAACAUGAUCAUUGUGAAGUUGUUAUUUUGAACCUGUGACUUUUGAAAUUCAUCUGUUACAUGGGUUAUUUUGAGGAAGAUCAUGGAAUGGAUAAGCUUGGAUGUGGCCAUCUUUAUUUGAUGCCUUUUCUCUUUAAGAUUAAUAUAAUUGUGCAUUUGUGUGUUGCUUGAUUUUGAAAGUCCAAGGGAAUUCUGGGUUUCUAUUGACAUUCUUGUCUAUUGGAUUGCUACCCAUUUGGUCAGAUCUUUUCAACUCUAAACUUUAAAUUUUGUACAUAGGAUAUCCUCUUCAUAUUCUCCCCAUUUAUUUAAUUUCAAAAAUCUCUCCCUCCUUUUUCAAAACCUUCUUGGAUUGAACUUAUUUUGUUCUCAACUUUGACCACUUUUGCAAAAGAUAGAAACUUUGGCCUUAUGCCAUUGCAUUUUCAAACUUCUUUUCUAAAUCAAACUUGUAAGUAAACUUAACUAUACUUGACUUAAACUUUCAAAAAAAAGUCAAAAUGAACUAACUCAUUCAAACCAUUUUUAGGCCUUUGUGCCUUUCAAACUUAAUUCUUGUUAAAAGCAAUGCAUCCACUUUGAAAUUUGUAUCACGAACAACGAGAUUUUGAUCCCUCAUUUUUAUGUUGGUAUGUAGGCACAAGACCGAAGGUCUUGUCAAACACAAAAAUAUAAUUAAUUGAAUUCUUUUCUCACCCCCCCCCCCAUUCUAUUUUGNUCUCAUCCCCCCAUUCUAUUUUGUUUGUAAACAUCACUUUAUACCAAGUACAUAUGCACACAAAAAGGGCUCCCUAGAAGUACCUAGGACACUUUGGAUGCUAACACCUUCCCUCUGUGUAACCAACCCCCUUACCUGUAAUCUCUGACUUUUUAUUAGUUUUGAUUUGAAAAUAUCUUACUUUUAGGUUUUGUUCGUACUUUUUUCCUUUUCCCUUGGAAACAAUAAAAGCGCGGUGGUGACUCUUGUUAUUUGAUCUCUAGCUUAUCCAUAGCUUGAUGAUCAUGAAUUUACCGCUAUAAAAAUUAAGUGGCGACUCUGCUGGGGAGUAGUCUCCAGUGGGUUUAGCCUACUUUUUACGUGAAUAUAUUUGUAUAUAUGUGAUGUUUGUAUAUAUGUAUGUGUGAUAUACUCUGCUUGUUAUGCUUGGUGAUAUCUGAAUGGUGAGAUAAGUUCUAACCCGAACUUGAGUGCAAUUAAGAUAGGAGGAUGGUAUAGUCAUGUUCGACUUGUGUGGAGUAGUCCUUAACAAGUUGGCUUGAGACCCAUCUGCUCAGUGGAGACUCUUUUUCUAACCCGAACUUGAGUGCAAUUAAGAUAGGAGGAUGGUAUAGUCAUGUUCGACUUGUGUGGAGUAGUCCUUAACAAGUUGGCUUGAGACCCAUCUGCUCAGUGGAGACUCUUUUGGAUUUGGAAUGUCACAUAAGUAUUUGUGGUUAGGCAUUGCUAUCUCUAAUUGGGUCCGAGAAGCUGAGGACCGUAGAACAUUUACCCCCUCUUGGCCUAUUUAGGACGUAGUGCAGAAACUUUGCAAGUGUAGACUUGAUAAUAGUUGUUACGCGAUACUACACUCAGAUGAGUUUCUCUUGAGAAUAUUAUGGGUAGAUGAGUCAGUCAUCUUAACCUGUAAUAUCCGAUAGAUGGAAUUAAGACUCUGGGAACUUUUUAGAACAUGGUCUACAGGUUUUUAUCCUUAGUUCACUCAUUUGGGUUGGUUCUUACCCAGACUCCAUGCUCGUGACUUACAACAAACUCUUGAUUAUUGGUUGAUCCAAUCAAGUCUUGUCAAUAUCAAUGGAACUUGGGUGUUGAUAAGGUGUAAACCACAAUCCACCAAAAUGGAUGAUUGAUCUUGACAAUGACUUGAUUCAUACCUUGACCUUUGUUUGCCUUGUGUGUGAUCCCUUAUUUGUGAUUGUUGCGUUCAUGCAUUCAAGCGCAUCAUAACAUUCAUCACACAAAAAUUUCAAGGAACUAAGGUAUCAUUUGCAAAUAUUUUCAGACCAUGGAUUAUGGACGAAGGAACACCAAGAAGUACAGUUUCAGAUGUCCCGACUUGAAAGAGUUAAGGAAGCUAGCAUCUUUUGUAUUAGAUCCCUUGGACUUUGCAAAUAUUUUCAGACCAUGGAUUAUGGACGAAGGAACACCAAGAAGUACAGUUUCAGAUGUCCCGACUUGAAAGAGUUAAGGAAGCUAGCAUCUUUUGUAUUAGAUCCCUUGGACUUCAAACAAUGUCAUGGGAACCUUUUAUCCAUCUUGUCUGUUGAUGUGAUUGAAGGACUUUUGAGUGUGCUAGUCCAGUUCUAUGAUCCUCUCUACCGUUGUUUCACUUUCCCAGAUUUUCAGCUUGUGCCUACAUUGGAGGAGUAUUCUCAUCUUUUGGGGAUACCUGUUUCUAGUAGAGUGGAUUUUAGUGGAUUGGAGGAGAUUCUCCGGUCUAGUAUUAUUGCUGAAGCUCUUCACUUGAAGAAGUCUGAGAUAGAGGCUCAUUGGGUGAAGAAAGGAGGAUUGUUUGGGGUUGCCAUCUAAUUUCCUCAUCAAGGAAGCUACUGCUUUUGCUCAAGUCGGUAGUGUGGAUGCUUUUGAAGUUAUCUUUAUGUUGAUCAUUUAUGGAUUAGCUUUGUUCCCUAACAUUGAUGGUUUUGUUGAUGUUAACGCCAUUAGACUUUUCUUGAUUGGGAAUCUUAUGCCUACUCUGUUGGGUGAUAUGUAUUUCUCUUUGCAUCUAAGGAAUUCUAAAGGUGGUGGAACGAUUGUCUGUUGUAUUCCUCUUAUGUACAAGUGGUUUAUUUCGCACUUGCCUCAAACACCUAUUUUUGUGGAGAACAAACAAUGUCUAAGGUGGUCUCAGAGACUUAUGUCUCUCACUAAUGAUGAUAUAGUUUGGUAUGAUCCGUCUUUGAUCAGUUUGGAGAUUAUUGAUAGUUAUGGUGAAUUCUCUAAUGUGCCUCUCAUUGGUACACAAGGAGGAAUUAACUACAACCCUGCUUUGGCUCGUCGUCAACUUGGGUUCCCCUUGAGAGACAAACCUAAUAACACUUUGUUAGAAGGUCUUUUCUAUCAAGAGGGUAAAGAUCCCAACAUUGAAGCAGAAGAUUGUGCAUGCUGGCAAUAAUGUGCAUAGGAAAGGAAGAUCCGAGCUUGGUCUGCGCAAUUGUGUAGCUUUGGAAGCUUACAAUCUUGGGUGAAGAAGAGAGCUAGGAGUUUAAGAUGCCUUAUCCUUGCGAAAGACCUAUGUCUAUGAUUGUGGUUGAGUCAUUAACUCUCCCUAACCAAGAUGUGAGGAGUUGGAAGACGCGCUCGCCAAGAUGAAGCAAGAGAAGGAUAUGUGGGAAGAGCGUUUUCGUGCUUUGAGCAAGAAGCAUGAAGAGUUGCAGUUGGAGUCUAAGGACAAAGAUGCACUUGUUGAGUUACGUGAAGAUCGGGUGACGAAGAGACAGAGAGAGCCACAGUUUUCAUCUUCUAGCAUGUCGCAGCCUUCCGUUGCUUGGAAGAAGAUUAUUGAUCAGCUUGUCCUCGAGAAGACUCAGAUGAAGGCUUCUUUUGAGACCGAGAUCCAUCAUAUUCGAAGGAAGUACGCGCCUACAGCCAGAUCUUCUGACUUUGUUGUUAGGGAUCCUUAGGAUGACCAGUCUCCUUUUCUCUUGUAUUUUUCAUUUGGUUUCUGAAAUUGUACUCAGUGUAAUCCUUCCAAUUAUAAAUGAAAAAGAUAUUUUUGGUCAUAUCAAAUUGUUGCAAUUGCCAUUUAAAAAUAUAUAUUUGCAAAUAAUAUAGUAAGUUCCUUGAAAAUAAAAAAACAAUCAAGCAUUACAUGCAUCAUUUGCAUGAGCAGGUUUUCGCCAGAUGUCUGAUUGGUGUUUCUUCUAUGCUUUAGCCAAGCUGACUCAUCGGUACAAUACCCGAGCCAAUCAUCUGAGAAUUAUGGAGCACUUAGAGUAAGAGAACAGAGAGCUGAAGGAUGAGAUCACCCGCCUGACUGCCAUGAUGGAGUCAGUUCUCACUGCUCAGAGUCAAUCUUCUCCAACGCCUGCAACUCCUCCUACGAGGACUGUUAUUUCAAAGGUGGUUACCUCUACCGUGCCUGCUACUGCCACCCACUUUGCACCAACUAUGCCUUCCGAAUUCCCGUGGGGAAUGCCGCCCAACUUUGUGCUUGAAGGCUUUGCGCCUACUUUUGCUUCCAUGUCGGCAUCUAGCUCGGUCAUGUCCGUGCCACCUCCCGUUGUGCACACCUUACCUCGCAUAGAGGAUACCAUCUAUCAUUCCGAGCCGUCUAAGGGUCCGGAUGUGUAUGAGAAGAUGGACGAGAUGAAAGAUCAUUUUCUUGAGUUGCGCAAGGAAUUGAAGACGCUGAGAGGUAAAGAUCUAUUUGGAAAGAGUGCUGUUGAGGUGUGCUUAGUGCCCAACGUCAAGAUCCCGAUGAAGUUCAAAGUGCCUGACUUUGAAAAGUAUAAGGGGAACUCUUGUCCGCUCAGUCAUCUUGUGAUGUACGCCCGUAAUAUGUCUACUCAUACCGACAAUGAUCAAUUGUUUAUCCACUACUUCCAAGAUAGUCUGACCGGCGUUGCACUCCGUUGGUAUAUGGGAUUAGAUAGUUCCAGCAUUCGCACUUUCAAUGACUUAGGGGAGGCUUUUGCCAAGCAGUAUAAAUAUAAUGUGGAUAUGGCGCCAGAUAGAGACCAGCUAAGGUCUAUGUCUCAGAAAGACAAAGAGACAUUUAAGGAGUAUGCGCAACGAUGGAGGGAAUUGGCUGCUCAGAUCACUCCUCCUUUGGAGGAAAAAGAAAUGACAAAGAUCUUCUUGAAAACACUGAGUUCAUUUUACUAUGAACGAAUUAUUGCUAGUGCCCCCAGUGACUUUACCGAAAUGGUAAACAUGGGGAUGAGGCUUGAGGAAGGAGUCCGUGAGGGACAUUUGUCAAAAGAUGAGGCGUCAACAAGCAAGAGGUAUGGUAGUAAUUUCGGUAAGAAGAAGGACAGUGAGACGAAUGCACUAGUCAGUGGGAGGAAGAGGAGGCCUUAGAUCAGAAGAAAUCCAAUAUCCCGUCAACAUCAUCAUCAUCAAGUAUCCUCGGUAAUUCUGGUAUUUUCUAAUUAACAAGCAACACCAAUUCAACAACAACAACGUCAACAAUAACAACCGCAACAAAGAACAAACACCUACAACAACAACAAUACCAACAACAAUCAUCAUCAACAAAACUUUGAGAGGAAGACGGUCUCUUUUGACCCGAUUCCUAUGUCUUAUGCAGAGUUGUAUCCCUCAUUAGUUCUCAAGAACUUAAUUCAACCGAGGAACCCAUCAUAGAUUCCAGAACCACUUCCUUGGUGGUACAAGCCUGAGCUCCGUUGUGCUUUUCAUCAAGGAGCACCCGGACACGACAUUUAAAAUUGUUAUCCAUUGAAGUAUGAGGUUCAAAAAUUGAUGAAAAGUGGUAUGGUGUCCUUCGAGGACCGUGUGCCAAAUGUGAAAGCAAACCCUUUGCCCGUUCAUGGGAACUCUUCUGUGAAUAUGGUGGACGGUUGUCCUGGAGAAUUCAAAGUUUUUGAUGUGCGUUUUAUUAGGAGGUCCUUAGUGCAGAUGCAUAAGGAUGUUUGUUUGGUAAGUGAAUGUGAGCACGACCAUAAUGGUUGUGUUGUUUGUAGUGUUAACCCGAGGGGUUGUGAAGUUGUGAAAAGGGACAUCCAACGUCUAAUGGAUGAAGGCAUGAUCCAAAUUGUUCAAUCCCGUCAUGUAGAUGACGAUGUCAAUGUCAUAGUGCCCGUUUUCAAGCAACAAGAGCGGUUGGUAAUUCAGUAUGACUCCAGUAACAGCAACAAUCAAAGAUCAGUAUCGUCGUUGGUAAUACGGUUAGUAGGCCCAGUCCCGUAUUCAUCUGAUAAAGUUGUACCGUAUCAAUAUAAUGCUACAAUGAUGAAGGAUGGUCAAGAGGUCCCAUUAUCUACGACUAGUUCAGUGGUUAGCAUUGCUGAUGUUACAAAGGUGACCUGCGGUGGUCAAGUGUUUAGGCUGGUGUUCCCAAAGGAUAAAGAAGAAUCGAUUGUUGGUGAUAAAGUGAAGGUGCCUAGUAUAGACCCAGUUGGUUGUUCAAAAGAUAAGUCUGGUGAAUCCAGCAAUUUGAAAACCAAUGAUGAUGAUGAGGUACUCUGACUAAUCAAAAGGAGCGAGUUUAAUGUGGUAGAGCAGCUGCUCCAGACCCCCUCAAAAAUUUAAGUGUUGCCUCUGCUGAUGAAUUCUGAAGCGCACAGAGAAGCACUACAUAGAGUUCUCAAACAAGCGUUCGUGGAACAUGAUGUUAUAGUGGAUCAAUUUGAUCAUAUUGUGGCUAACAUCACUUCUUGCAACAAUCUCAGCUUUUGCGACGAAGAACUCCCUGAGAAGGGCAUAAACCAUAGUUUGGCUUUGUACAUCUCGAUGAAUUGCAAGGAAGAUGCUUUGUCAAACGUGCUUGUUGACACCGGGUCGUCACUGAAUAUGCUUCUGAAGUCAACUUUGUCGAAGCUAUCUUAUCAAGGAGCAUCCAUGAGGUAUAGCGGUGUAAUCGUCAAAGCUUUUGACGGUUCACGCAAGACAGUAAUUGGUGAAGUGGACCUUCUAGUCAAGAUAGGUCUGAGUGAUUUUCAUAUUACUUUUCAAGUAAUGGAUAUCCACCCAGCCUACAGUUGCUUAUUGGGAAGGCCAUGGAUUCAUGAGGCAGGAGCUGUUACUUCCACUUUACACCAGAAGCUCAAAUUUAUCAAGAAUGGCAAGCUAGUGAUUAUCGGUGGGGAGAAGGCGUUGUUGGUUAGCCACUUGUCAUCUUUCUCUUAUGUUGAGGCUGAGGAUGAGGUUGGAACUUCGUUCCAAGCCUUAUCUAUUGCUGCUGAGAAGAGAGUUGGGGCACUUAUGUCCUCAUUGAAAGAUGCUCAAAAUAUUGUUGAAGAAGGUACUGUUGAUCAGUGGGGGCGCAUGGUAGAGGUCCCCGACAAUAAGGGCAGAACUGGUUUGGGGUUCUAGAAAGGCUCAUCAACUGUUAGAUCUGAAGAUAUGCAACUUAGAUUCCGUAACGGAGGGUUCAUUCAUGGCAAUGAGCAACACUUAGUUGUUGUGCUAGAGUAUGACGAAGAGGAAGACUGCAUCAAUUUUAUGACGCAUGGAAAGGCUUGCAACAAUUUGACUGCUGUUGAUAUUCCUGUUAUUUUGCAUCAAUCUAAGUAAUUGCUUUUAUAUGUUUUAAAAACCUUCUCAUAUGCCUAAGGGAGAGGUGAACAUUGUUUGGGCAUUUUCAAAUUGAUCAUCAAUAAAAUUAAUUAUAUUCAUCCACAUCUAUGAUGUUUGUUUUUACUUUUUGCUUUAUUCUGAAAAUGGUAAUCACAAAAAAAUAUAAAUAAAUAAUAUAAUUGUCCAUCUGCAUGAUAUUUGGUCACAAUUUCACUUCUAUAAAAUCAAAAUAUUAAAUCAUUAUGCAGGUUGGUUCCUAACCCCAUUGAAUACAAUGAUCCUUCUCCUUCUCCAAAUUUUGAAUUCACUGUGUUUGAAGCCGAGGAGGAAAGUGAUGUAUAAGUGAGUGAUGAAUUAUCUCGUCUUCUUGAGCAAGAUGAAAAGACUAUUCAGCCGUUCGAAGAGAAGAUUGAGCUAGUCAACUUGGGUUCCGAGGAUGAUGUGAAGGAAGUCAAGAUUGGGUCUCGACUGUGUCCAGAUGUUAAGAAGGGGUUGAUUGAUCUUCUUUGAGAGUAUUCAGAUGUGCUUGCUUGGUCCUAUCAAGACAUGCCUGGGUUAGAUUUUGAGAUUGUGGAGCAUAGAUUAUCGUUGAAGCCAGAAUGCCCGCCAGUCAAGCAGAAGUUGAGAAGAACGCAUCCCGAUAUGGCUGUGAAGAUCAAAGAGGAAGUGAUAAAGCAGAUUGAUGUCGGUUUCCUUGUAACCGCUGAGUAUCCACAGUGGGUGGCCAAUAUUGUGCCUGUACCAAAGAAAGAUGGAAAAGUCCGCAUGUGUGUUGAUUAUAGAGAUUUGAAUAAACCCAGUCCGAAAGAUGAUUUCCCUCUGCCACACAUUGAUAUGUUGGUAGACAAUACUGCUAAAUUCAAAGUCUUUUCGUUUAUCGAUGGAUUUUCCGGAUAUAAUCAGAUCAAGAUGGCACCUAAAGAUAUGGAGAAGACCAUAUUCAUUACACCUUGGGGAACAUUCUGCUAUAGAGUGAUGCCUUUCGGUUUAAAGAAUGCUGGUGCAACUUACCAAAGGGCAAUGACUACUUUUUUUCAUGAUAUGAUGCAUAAAGAGAUUGAAGUUUAUGUCGAUGACAUGAUUGCUAAAUCGAUUGAUGAAGAGGAACAUGUUGAGCAUUUGUUGAAGUUAUUCCAGCGUUUGAGGAAGUAUAAACUUAUGUCGAUGACAUGAUUGCUAAAUCGAUUGAUGAAGAGGAACAUGUUGAGCAUUUGUUGAAGUUAUUCCAGCGUUUGAGGAAGUAUAAACUCCGCUUGAAUCCCAAUAAGUGUACUUUUGGUGUUCAUUCUGGUAAGUUGUUGGGAUUUAUUGUCAGCGAGAAGGGUAUUAAAGUUGAUCCUGCCAAGGUCAAAGCAAUACAAGAGAUGUCUGCGCCCAAAACUGAGAAGCAAGUCAGAGGUUUUCUCGGCCGCUUGAAUUAUAUUUCUAGAUUCAUUUCCCACAUGACUGCCACAUGUGCGCCUAUAUUCAAGCUUCUUCAGAAAGAUCAGUCUUGUGAUUGGGCCGAAGAUUUCCAGAAAGCUUUUGACAGUAUCAAGGAAUAUUUGCUUGAGCCUCCAAUUUUGUAUCCACCUGUUGAAGGAAGACCAUUGAUCAUGUAUUUGAUUGUGCUCGAAGAUAGUAUGGGUUGUGUUCUUGGUCAGCAAGACGAGACUGGAAAGAAAGAAUUUGCAAUUUACUACCUCAGUAAGAAGUUCACCAACUGUGAGACUCGGUAUUCGAUGCUUGAGAAUACUUGUUGCGCAUUGGCUUGGGCUGCUAAGCGUCUGUGCCAGUAUAUGUUGAAUCAUACCACUUGGUUGAUAUCCAAAAUGGAUCCGAUCAAGUAUAUAUUUGAGAAGCCUGCUUUAAUUGGGAGGAAUUCCCGUUGGCAGAUGUUGUUAUCAAAGUAUGAUAUCGAAUACCGAUCUCAGAAAGCAAUCAAAGGUAGUAUCUUGGCUGACCAUUUGGCUCACCAACCAAUUGAAGAUUACCAGUCAGUGCAGUAUGACUUUCCUGAUGAAGAGAUUUUGUACUUAAAAAUGAAGGAUUGUGAUGAACCAUUGCUUGAAGAAGGGCCAGAACCUGGUUCCCGUUGGGGCAUGGUGUUUGAUGGAGCUAUUAAUCAAUAUGGAAAUGGCAUUGGGGCAGUGAUUAUUACUCCUCAAGGCACGCACCUACAAUUUACAGCUAGAUUGACUUUCAAGUGUACAAACAACAUGGCAGAAUAUGAAGCUUGCAUUAUGGGGCUUGAAGAGGCCAUGAAUCUCAGAAUCAAGUAUUUGGAUGUCUUCGGUGAUUCGGAUUUGGUUGUGAAUCAAAUCAAAGGAGUAGAAUAUGAAGCUUGCAUUAUGGGGCUUGAAGAGGCCAUGAAUCUCAGAAUCAAGUAUUUGGAUGUCUUCGGUGAUUCGGAUUUGGUUGUGAAUCAAAUCAAAGGAGAAUGGGAGACAAAUCAACCCUGUUUAAUACCAUAUAGAGAUUAUGCGAGGAGGAUUUCAACUUUCUUUACAAAGGUUGAGUUUCAUCAUAUUCCUCGAGAUGAAAAACGGAUGGCAGAUGCUCUUGCAACGUUGGCAUCAAUGAUUGUAGUGAAGUAUUGGAAUGAGGUUCCUAAUUUGUCUGAGAUGCAUCUUGAUAGGCCAACUCAUGUAUUUUCUAUUGAAGAUAUCAAAGACGAGAAGCCAUGGUAUUACGACAUCAAAUGUUUCCUCCAAAGUCAGAUUUACCCACCUGGGGCAUCUUUGAAAGAUAAGAAGACUUUGAGGAGAUUAACCGGUAAUUUCUACUUGAAUGGUGAUGUACUAUACAAGAGAAACUUCGACAUGGUUUUGCUCAGAUGCGCGGAUAGACACGAAGCAGACUUGUUGAUGACUGAAGUGCAUGAAGGUUCCUUUGGUACUCAUUCCAAUGGACAUGCAAUGGCAAAGAAAAUGUUGCGAGCAGGUUACUAUUGGCUGACAAUGGAAUCUGACUGUUGCAAAUUUUCUUUGGUACUCAUUCCAAUGGACAUGCAAUGGCAAAGAAAAUGUUGCGAGCAGGUUACUAUUGGCUGACAAUGGAAUCUGACUGUUGCAAAUUUGUGAAGAAAUGCCACAAGUGUCAAAUUUAUGCUAAUAAGAUUCAUGUUCCUCUGACACUAUUGAAUGUUAUCUCUUCCCUAUGGCCCUUCUCCAUGUCGAGAAUUGAUAUGAUUGGGAUGAUCUAGCCGAAAGUUUCGAAUGGACAUCGUUUCAUUUUGGUGGCAAUUGACUACUUCACAAAAUGGGUUGAAGCGGCAUCAUAUGCAAAUGUAACCAUGCAAGUGGUUGUGAGGUUUAUCAAGAAUCAGAGUAUAUGCCGUUAUGGUGUGCCAAGCAAGAUCAUUACUGAUAAUGGAUCGAACUUGAAUAAUAAAAUGGUGGAAGCUCUUUGCAAAGACUUCAAGAUUGCAUAUCAUAAUUCUUCUCCCUACAGACCUAAGAUGAAUGAGGUUGUUGAAGCUGCAAACAAGAACAUUGAGAAGAUUAUUCAGAAGAUGGUUGUCACAUACAAAGAUUGGCAUGAGAUGCUCCCAUUUGCUUUGCUGGGUAUCGUACAUCCAUCCGCACUUCAAUAGGGGCAACCCCUUUCUCUCUUGUUUAUGGUAUGGAAGUAGUGCUCCCCGUAGAGGUUGAGAUUCCUUCAUUGUGUGUGCUUAUGGAAGCCAAGUUGACUAAGGCUGAAUGGUUUCAGACCAGGUUUGACCAGUUGAAUUGAAUUGAAGAGAAAAGGUUAAUUGCCAUGUGUCAUGGUCAGUUAUACCAGCAGAGAAUGAAGAAAGCGUUUGAUAAGAAGGUCAGACCUCGUGUGUUCAGAGAAGGUGACCUUGUGCUCAAGAAGAUUUUGACGUUUAAACCAAAUUCUAGGGGAAAAUGGACUCCUAAUUAUGAAGGCUCAUAUGUUGUUAAGAGAGCCUUUUCAAGCGGUGCAUUCAUACUUACAACUAUGAAUGGUGAAUAGUUCACUCGUCCUGUGAACGCAGAUGCAAUCAAGAAAUACUUCGCCUAAAAAAUAAAAUAAAAGCUCGCUAAGUUGAAAACCCGAAAGGGCGGCUUAGGCAAAAAUGAGCGUCUCGGUGGAUUGUAAACCUGAAAGAGCGAUCCAGGAAAAAAUUAGAGACAUAAAACAAAAAAAAUCCCGAUAAGUUGAAUACCCCACCUUGGGCAACUUAUGCAAAAAUUAGGGAUUAUGGCAAGUAACUGCAUUCUGCUGAUCUUCAAGGUUUUGAAGAUUUAAUUAAGCACAAGGGUUGACAUCGAUUCAUCACCCCAGUAGCGGUAAAGAGCGCAGUGGAUAUCAAGAGUUAGUAGAAGGAUUAAGGAUCAUUUGUAUUCAAUGUAACCCUUUUCCAUGUAAAUUACCAUUUUCAACUUUGUAAAAAUCUAUGGAGUCUUGUCAUUUACAGACUACCAUUCUAUCAAAUAGAGUUGAGCUUUUAUCCAAUUAUUUCUACUCUUAUUUACUUCUGCCAAUAGUUUUAAAUUUUAUUAUGAUCAUUUUGAAAAAUAAAUUUUUAAUCAAAAUCAGUUUUUCGUAAAUAUAUAAAAGCAAGAAUUUUUCAAAGCAACAAAAGGAAUAUCAGCAGCAUUUUAAUGGAUAGCAGGUCCUUAAGUGCAAAACAUUAGAGGUUCCUCAAGAAAUUAACCCUUUGGGUAUCCCUGGACGUUUGUGUUGAUUCAGUUCCUCGGCGGAGUGUUUGUUCCCCCAGUAGAGCUUCAUUCUGUUUCCCCAGCUCAGUUGGUUGAUUCAGAUACCUUGCGGUGUGUUAUUUUCCCCGACAGAGUUUCUGCCUUCCCCGACGGAGUUUGUGUUUCCUCAGCAGGGUUGAUUUUCAGCAGAUAUGGUUGACUUCCCUAGUAGAUUGCAUUGGUUUCCCCGCUGAUCGCCAGUCGAUUUGCUCCCCAGUCAGAGUUUCCUCCUGGCUUCUGAGCAGUUUAUAUUUCCCUGUAGGGUUGUCUCCCAUUUUUAUGGUGUUGACCUAAAAUUCCCCACAGGCUCGGGGAUGUUUUCUCUUUCCUCAGCAGAUCUCCUUCUUCCCCAGUUGGGGUUGAGCCUUUUUGGAUUGUUGAUCUCUUUGUUCUCCAGCAGUUGUCUCCAUAUUUUGUGGGUUGACCAGGAUUGUACCGAUGAUUCAAAUUUCUUCACGAUACCUUUGUAUCCUUUGUGAUCGUCUUUGUCAGCAUAAUCAUCAUAUAUACAUAUACAUACACAUUCAUAUAAUUUCAUGGUUUGCAUGAUUCAUUUGAGAUUAUUACUCUUUGCUAUGGCGGUACUCUAUCCCCAUACAAAUAUGGUGUCUGUCCUCCUUCAAUUGUAGAGUGUCAGCCCCUUAAGUAGAAAGACUUUAACCUUUCUCCUUUUCCCCACUGAGUUUGUCUCCUCGUGGAUGAUUAUUAUUUCAGUUUUCUCCCCAGUUAAUUAUUUGGAUGGAAUCACUCCCCUUGGGUUAUGUCCUCAAUGGGUUGAGUCUUUAUUGACCGUUUCUUUCUAGUUUUUACCUAGAUAGAUGCUCCGAUUCUCCUAAGAGUUUAUUGCCCAGUAACUGUUAAUAUUCUUCUUAGUUUGCAGUUUGCUACUUUUUGCCCAAUACCCGGUGAAAUUACCCCAGCUUUCCCAACAGUAGAGUCCCCAGUGGAUCUGAUUCCCCAGGAAGUAUAUCCUUGAUAUGUUCAUCCUAACCGGUGACGGAUAUCUUUCUCUCCCCUGCUUGAGUCUAUCCUUGAUAUGUUCAUUCUAACCGAUGACGGAUAUUCUCUUCUUGGUAUUCUACCCAGUAAAAAGGUAGUUGUAAUCCCUAUUUUUGUUCCCCAAAGAGUUAAUCCUUGAUAUGUUAAUCCUAACUUAUGAUGGGUUUCCUUCUCUUUGCGGUAUUCUACCCAGUAACCGGUAGUUGUAAAUCCUGCUUUUUUGUCCCCUUCGCAGAGUUGAUCCUUGAUAUGUUCACUUUAACUGGUGACGGAUUCUCUCUCUUGGUAUUCUAUCCAGUAACUGAUAGAUGUAAUUCCUAUUUUAUCUCCUCACAGAGUCUAUCCUUGAUAUGUUCAUCUUAACCGGUGACGGAUUUUCUCUUUGACGGUAUUCUAUCCAGCAUUUUGGUAUUCUAUCCAGUAACUGAUAGAUGUAAUUCCUAUUUUAUCUCCUCACAGAGUCUAUCCUUGAUAUGUUCAUCUUAACCGGUGACGGAUUUUCUCUUUGACGGUAUUCUAUCCAGCAUUCGAUAUAUGUAAUUCCUACCUUUUUGUUCAGUUGGUUUAUCCUUGAUGUGUUCAUCUUAACUGAUGACGGAUAUCCUCCUUGGCAAUCCCAGGCAAGUUUAUCCUUAAUAUGUUCAUCCUAACCGAUGACGGAUUUUCUUCCCUAUUGAGUUUAUCCUUGAUAUGUCCAUCCUAACCGAUGACGGAUGCUCUCACCCUUGGUCUUCUGCCCAGUAACUGGUAGUUAUAAAUCCUAUUUUUUUGCAUUUUUCCCCAGCAAGGCUAUUCUUACCCAGUAAUCGGUAAUGAAUACUCUCUCCUAGAAUCCUCAUCGAGUCAUCCUUGAUGUGUUCAUCCUAACCGGUGACAGAUGUCCUCUCUGUCAGAUCUUUAUUAUCUCCUUACCCAGUAACAGGUAGUAGAUAAUAGAUUUCUGAUCCUCCUGUGUUGAAGUUUAUUUCUUCCCCAAUUGAGUUGAGUGUGCAUUUCCUUAGAGAAAUCAUUUUCCCUGCAUGAUUCAAGUACUUCAGUUCUAUCCUAACUUACUUGUAUCCCCUGCAGAAGUUUUUAGUUCCUCGGCUGAGUCUUUUCCAUAUUUGUAUGGAAUCCCUCGAGUCCCCCAGUUAGUUUUAAGUCGUAGCCUGACCUACGCAUAACUCCUUUUUAUCCCCUCAUAGUCUUUGUCUCCCCAAUGAGUUUUCCUUACGGAAUGCAUUAUACUCCUGCGGACUUUCAGUCCCUCUGAUUUCUUUUCCUUUGUGGCAGUAUUUCCCCACAAAGCAUUAACUUUUACAUUCAUAUCAUAUGCAUCAUGAGGUCUCUUAGGGACCAAAAUUUGUUUCUAUAUGUUGUAAUUUAAGCCCAUUCUACUGAGACGACAUGAAGAUUUUAGCCUUCGCCUCCUCAGUUAGAAUGUCCUUAAAUAGGGGUAGCUGUAAGACCCCAAUUUUGACCCUAAGAUCCCUCAUGCAAUUCCAUCAUAUGCAUUAGCAUUGGGAUCAUACUUUGGCAUCCUCCUUACCCCUUUUUCAUUGGGUUUGUUUUGGGAGAGAUCACCAAGCACUAUGUGAUUGUAUCAUACUUGUAUUUUAUCAUUUCACUAACCAAAAUACCAAAAAUAUGUCUUUGCAUUGCCUAACUCUUUUGUAAGUCAGGAUGAUCCUCCAUUGAUCUAUCAAGUUCACAUCUAGGUUUGAGACCCUCAUGACAAAGAACACACCAUGGAUUGAUUCAAGGAUAGUCAUAAAAUUCAUAUAUGAGUCCCAAAUGAUCUCUACAUGUUGAUCAAGUUUUCUUCAAGAGUUUGAGGGUGAUUUGCCUUGGAAACCCUAGUUUGACUGGGUAUCUUGAGUAACUUCUCCAACAAGCUAUCUCACCAAUUGAUAAAAUUUAUCAAGGUACACUUCAAAAUUCAUCAUCUUAUGCAUAUAUUAUCUACCAUGAGCCUAGAAAGUCAAGAGAAUUGAAGAUUAGCAAGUUGGUUGAUGGUGGUUGGCCAGAUGAAUUCAUCUGAUCAAAACUGGGUCUCCCUAGACCCUAUCUCCUACAAAUUUCACCAUAUGAAAAUUAUUCCAAGAGAAACUUACUCUAAAUGACAUUGCAAACAACUUUCAUUUUGAUACCUAGAGCUAUUUUUGCUUGGAAAAUCAUUUUCUAUGUUGAAACAUUAUAGGUCAUUUUGUCUAAACCCUAAUUUGAAAGUCAAAUUCCCAAGGCCAUAACUUGCUCAAUUUUUAUGAUAUGAAAUAUUUCCAAGUUGCAAAAUAAAAUUCAAUAUGUCUAAUUCAACUUUUAUGUUUGGAGUGAGAGUUGAUUCAACUUUUAUGAGCAUGUGAUAUGAGGUUACAUUAUAGGUCACUUUUGACCUAUACCAUUGAUCAAGUGAUUUUUCCAAACUUCAAAAAUGCAUAACUCUAUCAUUUCAAAUCCAAAUGACAUUAAAUAGGUGACCAUUUAUGAAGACACUUUUCUCAUUUGAAGCUCACAUAAAAAGUUAAGCAAGGUGGAAUAUUGGGACAUAUGGCUUGACACUUCGAAAAAAUUUCAAUAUGUUAAAAUUUCCAAACUUCCACCUCAAAAUUCUUCAAGUUCCAAGCUCCAAAUGGAAAAGUUUUGAACAUGAAAGUUGUUCCUCUUGAUCUAACCUUUCCAAAAAGCUCAAAUUUAUCCAUUUUGGACAAGAAAUGAAUAGGCUGCACAUGGUAUCAUCAUUUGGCAAGAUUGAACUUCAAACAUCCAUGCACAAUUGCCUAGCAUUCCAACAUGACUUCAGCAUUGCUUACACUCAAUUAUGGAUCAGAUAGAGUGAUUUCAUGGGCCUGCACACGCCCAUGCACUCAAGAAUCACACAUUGCUAAUUUUGGAAGCUCAUUUCAAGUGUGCAAAUAUCAACUGAAUUGGCUAUAAAUAGAGCUCCAUGUGCUCAGAAUUUCACAGACAUUCGCGCCAGCUUUGAUCCCAAACCUCUAACCCUCUCAUUUCGAAGGAUAAUCCUGAGAAUUUCACUUGAAAUUAAGUUUGAAUUCUCACUAUUUUGAGAUUCAAAACUCCAGGGAUCCAAGACCUUUUGAGAAUUCAAUUCUUCUUCUGCAAGCAUUUGGAGUGAGAUCAAGCACGAGCCAAGGCAAGAAUAGCUGAAUCCAGACCUACAUUAAAGGUAUUUUCCAGAAAUUUUAAUCUCUUCGAUUCUCUCUUAAUCUUGCUCAAUUAUCUUAAUUCUUUGGUUGUCUGAAGUCCUACCAAUGUAGGCAAGAAUAUUGAGUUGCUUUGAGGCCAAAUCGAAGCAACUCAGUUCAUGUACCUCAAAUUUCAACUCCAUGUAUCUCUCGAUAUACUUGGAGUUAGGAUGAAUUGAGGUCAGUUUCGUGCUCUACGCCAUUUUUUCUUUGAGAUCAUAUCCUCCUUUUUUAUUCUGGUGAUGGUUGAAGGUGGACCAGUCCGGUGAGGUCCACCGGAGAAGAAGACCGGAGCUACAGCUCCGGCGAUGUGUUGGCAUCUCUCACAACCAUAGGAUCCAGCUGAAAUGAUUUAAUCACAAGCGUACAUGUUGAUUACCACGUGUGUGGACAAUUGACUCAAGUGCAUGGUGAACCGCGUGCGCUCAACCACUUGAUCUGCCACCUCAAUUAAUGAGGCGGAUCAAGUGGUCCACGUUUUUCUGAUUUUCUGUUUUUUAUUUUAAUUCCUUUGAUUUUCAUUAAUUCAUAUUAGUUUUAAUAUUGAUCCAAAAAAUAUGAGAGUUUCACCAAAAAAUUUCAAAUAUUUUCCUCUUUCAUAUUCUGAAUUAAAAUUAUUUUUUGGAUCAUUAUUUAUAUUUUUCAUGAUUUAAUUGAUUCUUCAUUUGUUUUUAAUUGUUUAAAAAUACUUGAGUCUUUAAAAAAUCUGAAAUUUUUUCUCCAAGGUCCUUUGAUCUUGUUUGACCUAUGAUAAAUAUCAUGGCCAUUUAUUUGGUGUUUUGAUGAGGUUUUAGGAAUUGACAAACCAUAUUUAAUUUAAAUGCCUUAUUUUAGUAUUUUUUUAAUUUGAUUAAAUGCCAAAUAAUUUGUUGACCAAUUGUGAUGACUUGUUGGUGUUUGACUAUUGUUGUUGGGCCUUGGUCAAGGUUGAUUUGACUUUGUUAAAUUAAUAUCAUUGGAUUUAGGGGAUUGAUGGAAUGUACAUUCCAUCUCCCAAAAUGAAUGGAUGAUAUUAAUUUGGUAAAAGUCCUUGGUUGAUUUGACUUUGUUAAAUUAAUAUCAUUGGAUUUAGGGGAUUGAUGGAAUGUACAUUCCAUCUCCCAAAAUGAAUGGAUGAUAUUAAUUUGGUAAAAGUCCUCCUUUGACCAAUUUGUGUUUUUAUCCAUUCCCCUCCCACUUCAUUUUAUUCCCCUUCUUCAUUCAUCCAUUCCAUUUGGCCUAUGAUAUCUCAAAAUCCUAAGGCUAGUUGAUUGAAAAAUUAACAUAAGUAUGGAUGAGAUUAGACCACACCUUUUGCAUAUCCUUUUUUGUGUGUGGUAGGUUUCAUGAGAAUAGUCUAUUAUACUAUUUCUCUAACAUGCAUUAACACCAAAAUUCUAUUGCCCGACCCCAAAUAGUUGUGACUUCUACAUAAGUCCAAUUACGAUUGCUUAACAUAGCGCUAAAUUUGUGACACAAAAGGCAUAAGCGUUCUAGUUAGUGAGAUUGUAAGUCUACCCUCCUUCAUGGUAUUGUGUGGAAACUUGGCCAUUUUUUCCUUCCUUUGGAAGAUGUCUUGGUUCAAGGAUCCAUGCUUGUGAUAAGUGGGUUGAGGGUUCUCCAAAGAAUAUCUUAAAAUGAAAAGUAAAAGCAAAACAAUAGUAACUUCUAACCUUUUAACUACUAACUUUUAAUUUCAAGCCCUUUACUUUAAUGCCAUUUAAUUCUAGCUUUUAUACAUUUGUCAUUGUUCAUAUCAUUCUAAUUGUUUAUGUUAAUGCAAUUUUCACUUUGUCCACUUGGACCAUAUUGUGUGAUAUAUUUUGUUUGCGUAUACUUUGCUUGUUUGUGUGGUCUUUGACCAUUAAUGUACAUAAUAACAACAAAAACCCUAAAAAACUUUUUGUGUGGACUGUUGGCUUGAUCUUGGACAAAUGGACUUAGAAUCUAGGCAACCUUCCUAUGCUAAAGGAAUUGGCCAAUGCCAACUUAUUGAGAAACCAAGUGCUUGCAAUUUGAAAACUUCAUUUGAUACAUCAUUCAAGAUCUCUCUGAGUUCAUCUAUAACAUGAUCAUUGUGAAGUUGUUAUUUUGAACCUGUAACUUGUGAAAUUCAUCUGUUACAUGGGCUAUUUUGAGGAAGAUCAUGGAAUGGAUAAGCUUGGAUGUGGCCAUCUUUAUUUUAUGUCUUUGCUCUUCAAGAUUAAUAUAAUUGUGCAUUUGUGUGUUGCUUGAUUUUGAAAGUCCAAGGGAAUUCUGGGUUUCUAUUGACAUUCUUGUCUAUUGGAUUGCUACCCAUUUGGUCAGAUCUUUUCAACUCUAAACUUUUAAUUUUGUACAUAGGAUAGUCUCUUCAUCUUUUCCCCAUUUCUUUAAUUUCAAAAAUAUCUCCCUCCUUUUUCAAAACCUUCUUGGAUUGAACUUAUUUUGUUCUCAACUUUGACCAUUUUUGCAAAAGAUAGAAACUUUGGUCUUAUGCCAUUGCAUUUUCAAAAUUCUUUUCUAAAUCAAACUUGUAAAUAAACUUAACUAUACUUGACUUAAACUUUCAAUAAAAAGCCAAAAAGAACUAACUUAUUCAAACCCUUUUUAGGCCUUUGUGCCUUUCAAACUUAACUUUUGUUAAAAGCAGUUCAUUCACUUUGAAAUUUGUAUCACGAACUACGAGUUUUUGAUCCCUCAUUUUUAUGUCGGUACGUAGGCACAAGACCGAAGGUCUUGUCAAACACAAAAAUAUAAUUAAUUGAAUUCUUUUCUCCCCCCCCCCCCCACACACACACACAUUCUAUUUUGUUUGUAAACAUCACUUUAUACCAAGUACAUACAAAAAGGGCUCCCUAGGAGUAACCUAGCACACUUUGGUGCUAACACCUCCUCUUGUUAACACCCCCCUUACCUGUAUUCGCUUUUCUAGUUUUGAUUUGAAAACUUCUUACUUUUGGGUUUUGUUCGUACUUUUUCCCUUUUCCCUUGGAAACAAUAAAAGCGCGGUGGCGACUCUUGUUAUUUGAUCUCUAGCUUAUCCAUAGCUUGAUGAUCAUGAAUUUACCGUUACAGCUGCUUCAUUAAUAUGAAGAGUCUCAUUCCAAUUUCUUUUGAGAUACUGCUCUAGUAUCCUCUAAGAGUCUUAGAUUCAAUUGAGGUAUCAUUCCCUUGUUCGGAAUAUCUUAAUUCUAUCAUAUAAGUUGCUGCUUCGUUUUGAUACAGAGAAUCUCAUUUUUGCUGUUGCUUCAUGAAUAUGAAGAGUCUCAUUCCAAUUUCUUUUGAGAUACUGCUCUAGUAUCCUCGAAGAGUCUUAGAUUCAAUUGAGGUAUCAUUCCCUUGUUCGAAAUAUCUUAAUUUUAUCAUAUAAGAUGCUGCUUCGUUUUGAUACAGAGAAUCUCAUUCUUGCUACUACUUCAUCAAUAUGAAGAGUCUCAUUCUAAUCAUUUCUUUUGAGAUACCGCUCUAGUAUCCUCGAAGAGUGUUAGAUUCAAUUAAGGUAUCAUUCCCUUAUUCGGAAUAUCUUAAUUCUAUCAUAUAAGAUGUUGCUUCGAUUCGAUACAGAGAAUCUUGUUUUUUGCUGUUUUAGAUACUAUUUCAUUAAUUUGAGGAGUCUCAUUUGUUUUAAAGGUGCUGAUUCGCUUGAACUUCAGAGAAUAUUGUGUGACCGUUUCUAGACACUGUUCUGCUAAGUGUCAGAUAUAGUUGAGGUAUCAUUCCAUUGAUGGAAUAUCUCAAUCAUAAUUAUCCAAGAUAUUAUUCUAAAGAUUCCCAUAAAGUCUUGAUUAUUUCUUCUACCUUACAAUAAAUCCUCAUACCGCAUUUCUCACUACAUUCCUCUUUAUGCAUUUAUUCAUUGAGUUUCAAAGGACAAAAUUUGGGUCUUCUUGUAUUUUAUUAUCUUUCACCGAAUGUAUGAAGACUAUUGUCAUUCUUACUUUCUAGUUCACAGUAAUUAAAUAGGGGCAGCUGUCAUACCCCGUUUUUGUCCGGGAAAUUUUCAAAAAAAACUUUCGUUAGUAUCCAUAACAGGAGGGAACGAUGUACAGAGUCAGAAUUUGUGGGUCUUAUCAGGAGUUUUCUUUGUUACUACCUUAGCUUAUGAAGCAAAGCCCUGAUCUAAGGGGGCCCUUACCUGACUCUCCAUUGCUCCUGGCGAUUGGUUUCUCCUGCUUGAUCAAGAGUUCACUCAACAUUCAUUUAGUCAUAACUCUUAGUUCUGAUCUAGACUUUUGAUUCUGAUUGGUUGCAUUUUCUAUGAAGUACGUACUAAAAGAUCGAAGAUUCAUUUAACCUAUCUGGCUUGUUAAGGUUGGUUCAUAAGCCUGAUAGGUCCAUAGUUUUGUUUCUUUGAUGAGGGUUUAUUUAAGGCAUCACAUGUCCUUGAUUCAUUACUUGUUUGGGAUUAUCGUUGGCACAAAGUCACGGGAUUGGUGGUCCAUUCAAGAUUAUAGCUUGGGGCAGUAGCCAUGUUCAUAUGAUUAGUUCGAGCCAGGGUCAAAAUUAUCAUACACCUAGUCAAGGCCAAAUGUUUAUUUCACUUUCCAAAAGCCACCAUUAACCCAUACUCAAACUACAAGUUAUUCUCCAAUUCUUAAAAAGGGAGAGGUUUGAGCCAUUUAUCCAUGGCAUUUAAAAAGAACUUGAUGUUCCAAGGUUCGUUGUGUUCUACAGGGGGACUUUUAUUCCAUUUUUUGUCACGAAAAAUGGUUAUGGACACAAGGGUCGUUGCUUAUGGCCUAUGUGUGAUUCGGUUAGCUAAAACUUCAGCAGGAAAAAGAAAAAAGAGGUCUCAAUUAUCCAAAGGAAUAUUACAAAAGUCCAUUAAACCAAGUUACAUUACAAAACUGCAAGAUAACGACAAUAAUAACAGAAGCUGGCAAAACAAUCCUCCUGAUAAAAGUCUUUGUUCUCAGUGUUGAGGCUGCCAGAGGAAAGUAGACUUCCGGUAAACAUCGCGACGCACUAGCUGGUAUAGCCAUAUCAUACGCUCACCGACGUUGAGAAGAAGGUUUUGCUCAAAAAGUACAAUGUCCGAAAUGCAGCUUCCUAGAAUCUGGAUGACGGAUCCUAUUGCAAAAGCAUCAUGGAUUAAAGAGUGGACAAGUUGACGGGAUUAUCCGGCCAAGUGAAAGUACUAGCAGAUGCAUAACCUACAAGACUAGAUCCAAACCAUUAGCAAGUUUUAUUACGGAAUUAUAUCCAUAAAUCUAAUAGCACUACUCGUGGAUAUUGGUUUGUUACAAGCAAGAAUUGAUGAUGUACAAGAUAAUCCAUAAAUCCUAAUAACAUCACAAUUGGUUUGGAGAGUUUCUUAUUUUAAAUUAGUAUCAACACACAACAAAUCGAGAUGCAAAUACGUGAUUGAGCAUGGUCAAAUGACUCGAUAACAUAACUCAAGUCGCUACACAUUACCAACAAAAGUGGCCCGAUGAAGACGAAGGUUGAACAUAGCAAGUUGUGCCGGUUGUAAAACAGAAACCUGCAGCGUAACGAUCACGGAGAGGAUAUUUCGAAAAGUUUAGGAUGCUACCACAACCUGUGAAGGGUUGGACCUGCAAAUCAUCAAAACCUACGGUUCAUUAACUAUCAUCACUACCUGAAGUGUUAAACAAAAACUAAGAGGCAUGAUACAAAUCCAGCCAUUCAGAUGCUAAAUCCCCACACCAAUUCUAUCAUCAAGGCGUAGAGGGGAAAAAUCUGGCACAUCAAACAUUGCACGAUUCGACCACACUCAUAUCUAUAUCUACAAAAUGUUCUCCACGGCAAGACUAUAACAACUGUGGCACCUCAGGUCGUAUGAUUGUCGCAAGAGUGUGUCACAUCCAAGGUCCUACAAAAGCAAAUAAGUUCGAUUAACAAGCAACCAACACAAUCCAGAAAAUUACUAUUGACUACCCUUCAUCACAAACGAAUGACAACCAAAUCGUUAUGUACUCAUAUCCCUAAGCUGCAAGGAUCACUGCAUUAAUGCAGGAUAAACUGUUAAGUCAUCUUAUCAGUAAAAGCCAAAAUAACUUAGACUAAGAGUUGAAAUAUAUGUAACUGUAAAAAAAUCAAACUUCUACCACAACAAACGCACAUUUACUGCAGUAAAACCUUAAUAAAGGAGUCAACAAAAAUAAGCCACAUCUUUGGAGGAUUAUGCUACAGACAAAAUAGAUUGGCUCUAAACAAAAAAACAAAUCAAAGGUUUGUGAUCGGUCCCCAAAAAAAAUCUGAGGGAAAAAUUCUCUCUAACGGAUUGAUCCUAUCCAAGAUUUUCCAAAUCAUGAAAGAUAAAGACGGAAGAGCCUCGUACAAAGACUCUAUAUAAAGACCAUUUGAUCAUUGAAGCGGGGAUCCUUUCGCCAAGCAUCGUUACCUUGCCGAAAUCUCGUACCGACCCAUACCCAAAGCUCAAAAUACAAAAGGUGACUCAGAGUUUAUCCCUAAAACUCUGAGUAAGCCAAGCUAAGCCAUUACUAAACCAAGGCACGCACCAGAUCGGUAAAGAGGAACAGAAACGGAGAGGAUUCGAAGUACACAAAGCAAAGAGGAUCACUUACCAGGUAUACUCGCGGCCAAUGGAUAUGCGUCAAUAGUUGUGCGAAUCAUCUUCUCUGUUUGUUUCAAACGUCAUAGCAUUUGCAUAGAUUUGUUGCUUCUGUUUUGAUUUGUCAAUUUCUUGGUUAUUGGUGGUGGAUAUAAAAAGUGGCAUUAGAAGCUUUUAUACCUUGGUUACCUGAACCUCACAUCCGUUACGGCGAGAAUAGGGUGCGGAGGAAUCGGAUCGGGAUUUAGAAAUAGGAUAGGCUGGCAUUCGAUGUUGUUUUGGGAAUUAGGUAGUUGAAUUUUUGUGAAUCGAAGGUUGCGUAAGGGUGAACACCGAAGAGUGGGGUUCAUCGCCUUCUUUCUUCUUUUUGCUUUCUUAUUUUUUUUAGCUUAAAAGUUCAGGGUGUGUGUUUAAGGUGGAAGGAAGGAUCCGUUACAAUGCAUAUGUUGAUUUAAGUAGAGUUUUUUUUAUUCCCCAUAAAGUCCAUUAAAUUUGGUUAUUGGAUUUAUAAGACCUGGGUUGGACAAAGCAUGUACAGUUUAUCUUUUCAAAGUUUAGCUUUAUUGGCAUUAACGUUGUUUUAAUGGCCAACAGUGGAGAAUCCAAAAAGGGUCAUGUGAUCCUUUCUGAUGUUCCAUUGUAUGACUUUCCCUUGCCUUGCCACGUG
rnacentral:lncRNA from 1 species